CCCUCCCGCUCUCCCAGAGUCGAUCCCGGCUCGGGGCAGCGAGGAGAGGUCCUCCGCAGAGCAGACAAAGCCCGCAGCCGCGAUGUGGGAGAGAACAGGGCUCUGCGCUCUGUGGGGGCCAAAAUGGAGUACGGGCUGGAGGGUGGGACCCCCUGGCGAAGGACAGGAUCUUCUCAUCCCCAAGAGGCGAGCCCUCCCCCCGCCCACACACACAUCCCACCUCCAGUCUCGGAGAUCUCAGAGGCACCGACUUGGAGUUCCGUGAGACUGGAAUUGCUGUGUCUGCUUAACAUUCAGCCAGUGAGGGAGUGAUUGUUGAAGCUGGGAGAAGCUUGGGGAGACUUCCUGGAGGAAGUGGAUAUGAAGGAGUCAUGAAGGAUGACUGAAGUUCAUUCAAAGGGAGAGGAUUAAAGGAUGUCUGGAGGUCCAGUGCCUGAGUACACUGGGUUUUCCUUGACGACAGGGACUGGAGCCAGUCCACUCCUGUCUUCCCAGCAGCUGGUACAGAGCCUGGCACACAGUAGGUGCUCACUAAAUGUUUGCUGUUUGGAAGCUGAGCAUGCUCAUCCAUAAGCCCCCUCCACCCCACCCCACCCUCGUCAAAUAUUCAUCUCCAUCCUCUGCUUUUCCAUAUCCCCCAACCUCCACACCCAGCUUUAACCCUCCCCUCACCUGCUCUCCAACAAGGUGCUGUCUGCAUGGCGCUUGGUGCAUGCCAAGCCCUCUCUAGCCCCUGGUCUUGGGCCUUCAUACAGAGCAGGAACCUGAUAAUGGUGCUGAGUCACUGUCAUGACUUUUUGCCUGAUGGCUCAGAGGGGAUCUCUCAGUAU